GACGAACGCUGGCGGCGUGCUUAACACAUGCAAGUCGAACGGAACGCCUUGGAAAGAGACUUCGGUCAAUGGAAAGGGUUGUUUAGUGGCGGACGGGUGAGUAACGCGUGAGGAACCUGCCUUUCAGAGGGGGACAACAGUUGGAAACGACUGCUAAUACCGCAUAACGCGUAGGUGUCGCAUGGCACUUACGCCAAAGAUUUAUCGCUGAGAGAUGGCCUCGCGUCUGAUUAGCUAGUUGGUAGGGUAACGGCCUACCAAGGCGACGAUCAGUAGCCGGACUGAGAGGUUGGCCGGCCACAUUGGGACUGAGAUACGGCCCAGACUCCUACGGGAGGCAGCAGUGGGGAAUAUUGGGCAAUGGGCGCAAGCCUGACCCAGCAACGCCGCGUGAAGGAAGAAGGCUUUCGGGUUGUGAAGUUCUUUUCUAAGGGAAGAAGAAAGUGACGGUACCUUAGGAAUAAGCCUCGGCUAACUACGUGCCAGCAGCCGCGGUAAUACGUAGGAGGCAAGCGUUAUC
rnacentral:rRNA from 1 species